UGGGGAAUAUUGGACAAUGGGCGAAAGCCUGAUCCAGCCAUGCCGCGUGUGUGAAGAAGGUCUUCGGAUUGUAAAGCACUUUAAGUUGGGAGGAAGGGUUGUAGAUUAAUACUCUGCAAUUUUGACGUUACCGACAGAAUAAGCACCGGCUAACUCUGUGCCAGCAGCCGCGGUAAUACAGAGGGUGCAAGCGUUAAUCGGAAUUACUGGGCGUAAAGCGCGCGUAGGUGGUUUGUUAAGUUGGAUGUGAAAUCCCCGGGCUCAACCUGGGAACUGCAUUCAAAACUGACUGACUAGAGUAUGGUAGAGGGUGGUGGAAUUUCCUGUGUAGCGGUGAAAUGCGUAGAUAUAGGAAGGAACACCAGUGGCGAAGGCGACCACCUGGACUGAUACUGACACUGAGGUGCGAAAGCGUGGGGAGCAAACAGGAUUAGAUACCCAUGUAGUCCCUGAGCGGGCUGGCAAGGCGCAU
rnacentral:rRNA from 1 species